UACGAAGGGGGCUAGCGUUGUUCGGAAUCACUGGGCGUAAAGCGCACGCAGGCGGAUCGUUAAGUCGGGGGUGAAAGCCCGAGGCUCAACCUCGGAAUUGCCUUCGAUACUGGCGAUCUUGAGUCCGGGAGAGGUGAGUGGAACUCCUAGUGUAGAGGUGAAAUUCGUAGAUAUUAGGAAGAACACCAGUGGCGAAGGCGGCUCACUGGCCCGGUACUGACGCUGAGGUGCGAAAGCGUGGGGAGCAAACAGG
rnacentral:rRNA from 1 species